AUGGGGUGCAGCAGGCGAGAAAACUUUGCAAUGUGCGAAAGCACGACAAGGUUAAUCCGAGUGUUUUCUGCUAAAGAAAUCUUUUGUUAGUUCUAAAACCACUAUCGAAUAAGGGGUGGGCAAGUUCUGGUGUCAGCCGCCGCGGUAAAACCAGCACCUCAAGUGGUCAGGAGGAUUAUUGGGCCUAAAGCAUCCGUAGCCGGCUAUGUUAGUUCUCGGUUAAAUCCAUGUGCUCAACACAUGGGCUGCCGAGAAUACUGUAUAGCUAGGGAGUGGGAGAGGUAGACGGUACUCGGUAGGAAGGGGUAAAAUCCUUUGAUCUAUCGAUGACCACCAGUGGCGAAGGCGGUCUACCAGAACACGUCCGACGGUGAGGGAUGAAAGCUGGGGGAGCAAACCGGAUUAGAUACCCGGGUAGUCCCAGCUGUAAACUAUCCAAACUCAGUGAUCCAUUGGCUUGUGGCCAAUCCAGUGCCGCAGAGAAGUCGUUAAGUUUGCCGCCUGGGAAGUACGUACGCAAGUAUGAAACUUAAAGGAAUUGGCGGGGGAGCAC
rnacentral:rRNA from 1 species